AACUCAAAAUAUAAAUAACUGCAAAAGAACAGUAUUACUAGGACAACUUUUUUCUGGUAAAAUCUGGAACACUCUUAUGAGGUUAAUAGGGUUUUUAUUGUGUCAUA
rnacentral:sRNA from 12 species